UGACAAGUAUUUCCGGACGGAGGGAGUAGUUAUGUUAUACAGGUUCUGUUUGAUGUGUUUCGGAAGGGAGAGAUCGAUGAUUUUGGAAUAUAAAGCUUCAUAUGAUUUUUUUUCCUCCAAGGUAACCAUGGGAUCCAUAUUUUUUUAGGUUUGUCUCUAAUAUUAUGUAUGCUCUUCCCAUUGAAGUUUCAAUACUUGGGUUUUAGAGCUGCACUUAUAGACUUCAGUUGGUUUGUACUAUAUAUAAUUAUAAAUCAUGUAAUUAUUUUAUUUGCUUCCCGUUCGUUUCAUGUAUUUUCCCUUUUGUUUUUACUAUGACAAGCUCACAAAGAGUGUGUAUUGAAAGGGAAAGUAAUUUGGUAUGUGAGGCCGUUUGAAUGCACUUGUUUCUUGCUGUUGUAUGUUGUAUUGUACCUGUUUCUUAGAUGAAAAUAAGAUUGGCGAUAUAUAUAUAUAUUCUGCUGAACAUGCAUCCCUCUGGCAGCAUUUUAGAAAUAUAAAUAUGUUCAGUUGUUAUCUUAUCAAGUUAACCCCUUGUAAGUAUAAAUUGUGGAGGAUAGCUCAUUGUUCAACGUCGAAAGAUAGGUCCUAUAGUUAGGCUCAACCUGAACAAUAAUAUAUCUAGCAUUAGUAAAAAAAAACUAAAAAAGUGAUACAAAUUUAUUUCAAUUCAUAUUUUCUACAUUUCUUUCGGAUGUUUGAUGAUAUAUCUGAACUUAUUCAUAAACCUACCUUUGAUGUUAGGCUCAAUUAUUCCUAAAUUUGGUGUUGACUAUCCCACGAUUUCAAGCUGACUAUCCCACGAGACAAUUUCUCGACCCAGCCAACAACGGUUCAUAGAAUUUGGGUGUAUUCUCCCGUUGCAACGCAGGGCACCUUUACUAUAUGUCGAGUUAUGGUUUCAUGAUAAACGGAGCACGCACCAAAUUUUGAUGAAUUGCUUGAAGAAAAUGCAUCGGGUCUUUUCUUGCGUCCUUCAAGUCUUCAACCAGGAUACAUUUCUAGAGCUAAAAUUUCAGGGCAUCAAGAAGUAAUUAACUAUGCUUCAAAAGUUAUUGAGCUGCAGAUAUGGCAUGUGCGUACACGAAGACCUGAUGCAUCAAAGCUCGGUGUGGACACACCUCUUCUUACAGGACAGAUGUUGAUUUUUCAUUUCCUUCCAACGCCAUUAAAUCCCAGUCUUAUCUAAUUUGAAAUGUCUCCAGCGUGUGUGAUGUAUCCCUCCCCUCAGCUUUUGGACGAACAUGGUGCUAUUUGGUGCUUUUGUUUGUGGAAAAAAUGUCAUUAGUCAGGCACUUUCUAAGAUGGUCACCUGAUUGCUCUGUUGUCAUGGAUGUGGGAAAACCUUUAUCUAUAG